rnacentral:rRNA from 1 species
AGUGAACGCUGGCGGUAGGCCUAACACAUGCAAGUCGAACGGCAGCACAGUAAGAGCUUGCUCUUACGGGUGGCGAGUGGCGGACGGGUGAGGAAUACAUCGGAAUCUACUUUUUCGUGGGGGAUAACGUAGGGAAACUUACGCUAAUACCGCAUACGACCUACGGGUGAAAGCAGGGGAUCUUCGGACCAUGCGCGAUUGAAUGAGCCGAUGUCGGAUUAGCUAGUUGGCGGGGUAAAGGCCCACCAAGGCGACGAUCCGUAGCUGGUCUGAGAGGAUGAUCGGCCACACUGGAACUGAGACACGGUCCAGACUCCUACGGGAGGCAGCAGUGGGGAAUAUUGGACAAUGGGCGCAAGCCUGAUCCAGCCAUACCGCGUGGGUGAAGAAGGCCUUCGGGUUGUAAAGCCCUUUUGUUGGGAAAGAAAAGCAGCAGGUUAAUACCCCGCUGUUCUGACGGUACCCAAAGAAUAAGCACCGGCUAACUUCGUG